GUCCUCGUAGCUCAGGGGAUAGAGCGUCUCCCUGCGGAGGAGAAGGUCGGCCGUUCAAAUCGGCCCGAGGACG
rnacentral:tRNA from 1 species